UGCUAAACACGGGGGAGUCACCGCCGUCCUGUGGGGUCAGCGGUGUCUGAGAGGAGUACGCGAAUGCAGACACCUGUCAAUCAAAUCAUGCUUAUUCAAAUGCACGACUUCACACAAUGACAUGACCUCUGUUCGCAGGAAAUCUAUUGCAUGUUCACGUGACCAUGGAAUUGACCGAAGUGUACAGCUGGUGCAAACUGCGCAAGCGCAAGGCAACAUUGCUGGCGCCGCCUCGCUCGGUUGGACACAAGACAAAGACAAUAUUGGCGAAGCACCUCAGAGCAGUUUGCGACGUGGUGUGCAACAGCACAUUGUUGGGCCGAUGGGCGGUUUUUCUAACCAAGAUGGCACAGUACUAACCAAGAUGGCACAGUACUAGCCAAGAUGGUACAGUACUAACCAAGAUGGUACAGUACUAACCAAGAUGGCACAGUACUAACCAAGAUGGUACAGUACUAACCAAGACGGUACAGUACUAACCAAGAUGGUACAGUACUAACCAAGAUGGCACAGUACUAACCAAGAUGGUACAGUACUAACCAAGAUGGUACAGUACUAACCAAGAUGGUACAGUACUAACCAAGAUGGUACAGUACUAACCAAGAUGGCACAGUACUAACCAAGAUGGCACAGUACUAACCAAGACGGCACAGUACUAACCAAGAUGGUACAGUACUAACCAAGACGGCACAGUACUAACCAAGAUGGCACAGUACUAACCAAGAUGGCACAGUACUAACCAAGAUGGCACAGUACUAACCAAGAUGGCACAGUACUAACCAAGACGCCACAGUACUAACCAAGAUGGUACAGUACUAACCAAGAUGGUACAGUACUAACCAAGAUGGCACAGUACUAACAAAGACGGCACAGUACUAACCAAGAUGGCACAGUACUAACCAAGAUGGUACAGUACCAAGGGUGUUGAGCGUAUCACGUCAGGCUCAUUUGGGCUAUAACUACUCCUAGUUCUAACCCUGGGAGCACUUAUUCGACUAGCGUCAAUCAAACAUGGCACUUUUGCUACAAACAGGGCCAAAGACCAGAAAAAUCUGGUGCUAGUUCUAAAAGAAUCAGUGUUCUGAAUAGGAGGACAAUUUUUAUCUAUUACAUCUAUUAGUAGAAUAUAGUAAUGUCCCAAAUACUUUUGAUCGUGAAACUGCUACCCUCCCCUAUUAAAAAAAUUGUCGUUUACCGUCGGCAUACUUCGAUGG